UUGCAAAGGCGAAAUUUUUCU
ensembl:piRNA 21ur-10261 ncRNA